GGAUUGAGGAGCGAUUGACAAUAGUAAUUAUAUGGAGUUACCUAACGCUGAUAUAUAAUGAAAGGGGAGAUUGCCGAAACCUAAAAGUAAGGGUGGUGCUUUUUGGUUGGGUUUAUGGAUAAUAUCUGUAAAACUGUCAUUGGUAACAAUGUUGUGCUUUCUGU
rnacentral:ncRNA from 1 species